UUCUCCAACAUGUAUCUAUAGAGAAAGCCUCUUGAUCCUCUCUCCACCACACAAAUGGAUUCUCUAACUUUCCUUACCAUUGUUGUAGCUGCAAUAGGCUUCUUCGUGAUUUUCAGAAGUUUUAGAUCCGAAGAAGAAAUAAAAGAAAUGGAUUCUUCUUCGUUAUCACCUCCAUCUUAUUUGUCUCACAAGUGGAUACACGACGUCUUUCCAAGCUUCCGCGGGGAGGAUGUGCGUCAAGACUUUCUCAGCCAUAUUCAGAAGGAGUUCCAAAGAAAGGGAAUCACACCAUUCAUGGAUAAUAAGAUCAAAGAGAGGAGAAUCCAUCGGUUCUGAACUCAUACGUGCCAUUAGAGGAUCUAAGGUCGCCAUCAUCUUGCUCUCGAGGAACUAUGCUUCGUCAAAGUGGUGUAUUGAAGAAUUGGUGGAGAUUAUGAAGUGUAGAGAAAGGUUAGGUCAAACUGUGAUGGCUGUUUUUCAUAAAGUAGAUCCAUCUGAUGUAAAAUGCUUGACGGGAGAUUUCGGGAAGGCUUUCAGAAAAAGUUGUGCCGGUAAAAGUAAGGAGGACAUUGAAAGAUGAAGACAAGCUUUAGCAAAAGUGGCCACAAUUGCGGGUUACCAUUCAAGCAACUGGGACAAUGAAGCAUCCAUGAUUGAAAGAAUCACAACUGAUGUUUCAAAUGAGUUGAUUAGUUCUGCCCCAUCAAGCGACGGUUUGGUUGGAAUGAGAGCUCAUAUGGAAAAGAUUGAGCCAUUUUUAGGCUUAGAUCCGAUAAAGUAAGGAUGAUAGGGAUCUGGGGUCCCUCUGGAAUUGGCAAGAGCACCAUUGCUAGAUUUCUAUUUGAAGAGUACUCUCAUGAGUUCCAGCUUAGUGUUUUCAUGGAGAACAUCAAAAGACGGUAUCCAAGACUUUGUCAUGAUGAGUACAGUACAGAACUACAGUUUUAAAAAGAGUUUUUGUCUCAAAUAAUAAACCAAGAUGAUAUUAAGAUUCAUCAUUUAGGAGUUGCAAAAGACAGAUUAAAGUACAAGAGAGUGCUUAUUAUUCUUGAUGAUGUGGAUCAGUGGGUGCAACUAGUUGCAAUGGCAAAAGAAAAUGGGUGAUUUGGUCCUGGAAGUCGGAUUUUAAUCACAACGCAAGAUAAAAGGCUUUUGAAUGCACAUGGAAGUAACCAUAUAUACGAGGUGGGGAUUCCAUCUGAUGAUGAGGCUCUCGAAAUCUUCUGCAUGUACGCUUUUGGUCAAAAGUCUCCAUUUGAUGGUUUUGAGAAUCUUGCUCUGGAAGUUACAAAACUUUCUGGUAAGAUUCCUUUGGGACUAAAGGUUAUGGGAGCUUAUUUUAGAGGAAUGUCGAAGCAUGAGUGGAAAAAAGAACUACCAAGGUUACGGAAUAGCCUUGACGGAGAAAUUGAAAGCAUUUUGAAGUUUAGUUACGAUGCAUUACGUGAAGAAGACAAAGAUGUUUAUCUUUGUAUAGCAUGGUUUAUCAACAAUGGAUGGAUUGAGAAAGUGGAAGAGCAUCUCCCAAAGAAUUUUGUUGAUGUGAGCCAAGGUCUUCACAUCUUAGCUGAGAAAUCUCUCAUAUCUAUUAGUUGGGGAUAUAUAUGGAUGCAUGAUUUGCUAGCACAUUUUGGUAGAAAGAUUGUUCGUAAAAAUCCAUUCAUGAACUUGGGCAAUGUCAACAUUUGGUUGAUGCUGGAGAGACUUGCCAAGUAUUGAAGAAUGAUACAGCAGUAAGUUUUUACAUUAAUCAGUCGUCGAGUGUUCCCUUACAAAAUUUAAUAAAAACAAAUUUUACUUAUGUAUC